UGCUAAUUAUUACCCUGUGGGGACCCAUGCUACAACAAAUAUUUUUCAGGCUAUAUAUAGUCACCAAGUUUGGCUCCCAAAUUCAGGGGAAAAGGCUGAAUGUCAUGUGAGAAUGACAGCAUAUGUCUGAAGCAUCAAUAUACUGGCUGCCUACUGAGACUUGAUGACCUUGGCACUCGCCGAAGUUCAGAAAAUCAAGUAUCACUGAAGAUCUAAAACUUAGUAACAUUAAUCCUUCAGAAGCUAUUGGGACUUUGACUAGUCUUCCCUUUAUGUUCUCCAAGGAAGAAGCAAGCACAGCUGCUAACACAGAGACCUUGCCUUGGCCAGAGCCAGUAAGCCAGUUUUCAGUGACCUGCCAAGGAUUGACCAUGAUGCUUUCCCAAAAUAAUUUUUGAUUACUGCAUAUUUCAGUAACUCCAUGUCACUCUAGGAAGAGUUUUUUUAGGAAUAUCUCCAGAUAUAAAAUAUAAGUUGGAGGGUUUGAUUUUUUUCUAAGAUAGAAAAAGUUUUAAAUGACCAUUUUUAUGAUGAAAAAAAUCUCAGGGAAUGUUUAAGAGAAAAAGGUAAAAAGCAUGAUAUUUCCUUGCAAUUACCUGUUUCUAUGAAUCUGCAUCACAAGGCCAAGCAAGAGCAGAUGAAAAUUCUUCACAACCUUUGUGGAGAGCUGGCAGUAAAAGAGAGCUGGCAUCAGUGUGAGCAGUGUAGCAGAGUAUUGUACCAGUGUAGCUGGUCAGGAGCCAACACUUCCAAGCGGACCUGAAAAGCCUGCUCUGUGCUGGUGUGGCUUGCAAGUCACAGAAAUGUCUUCAGUACUGAGAUAACUGAUUUGCUUCCAGCAGCUAAGGCAGAAUGAACAAAAUCAGCUAUUAAGAAUUGAAGGAGACAAUAUUUAGCAUUUUGCUGCUUCAUUCUCAUCACUCCCACCUGGAGUUUGGGAGGAUAGAUUUGAGACCUAAUCUACAAUCUGAUUUAGACUUUUAAAGUCCUAUAUUGCACAUACUUUUUAAAACUUUUGUUACCUUAUACACAUCAAAGUUGACUUAUGUCCUUUGUCCCAGUGUUGAUGAGACAUUAAGUAAUACUUUCACUCCAGGGGUUCCACAAUUACAGAAUUAUUCUGAGCUGCAAAGACAUUAAUGAAUAUAAAGUCUUAAGCAUCCAGUGGAACUUGGAAUUGCUGUGCUUAUACUAAAAGAGUUUCUAUUAUAAUAUUUAAUUGAUGGGAAACAGAUCUAGACCAUAAAGAAUAUUUUUGAUUUGUGGAGGAAAAAAACCCUAAAACCUAACACUGCAUAUCAAUUAUUCUAUAUGUAAUAACUUUGAACUAUAUACUUACCUUCAUGUAUUUAAUUCAUGCUUUUUUAUUGUAUUUUUCCAUUGACACAAUUUUCUACUGUAAUGUGAUUAUACAGUGGUGUUUGUGGAAUGGCAGAAUCCAUGGAAUGGUAAAGCAAAGGCUGUCUCUCACUUUGGACUCAUACAAAACAUAACAGGAUCUAGCUGUGCAUCUGCUGGUUUUACGUAAGCUCCUCUGAACAUCUUGCAUGUUGAUUGAAGAUUCCUUUUCUUGAUAAGUAGCUACAUUUAUUCUUGAUUAAUCAAUUGUUGCAAACCCUCUAAAUUUUCACUAAAGUGGAGGUAGUUUUGCUCUUAUUUCUUUAGUUUUCAGGGAGAGGGGCAACAAAUGUGUCUUUUUACGGUUGCCACCCCCUAGAUGAGACAUAAGAGUCCUUUAGCCUGAUUCUCAUGACUGUCUAGCAAAAGCAAGAAUUUGAGGUACUGUUUAAAGGGUAUAGGGUGUAGGAUAUCUUGCCUAACAUUUCUGUCUUGAAAGCAUGCUGUAGUAGUUUAUCUGUGCUAUUAAGCAGUAUUGUGCAAUUACCCUAAAAGCCUAGCUGUACUAGUUACCUCACCAUCCUCUGCGACAUCCUCUGGGUUUUUUAAUAUAUUGUGUGAAAGUGAUACACGAAUCCUAUACUUAGUAAAGUGGCUUUUUUGCCACAAGAUGAGGCUACAUUGAAUGUAAUCGUGCUCUGUGGGGUUAACUUUCUGUAGCCUGUUACCUUUGACUUCAGUGACUUCACAUAAAAAAAUGAAUCUCCACAACUCCAAUGAGACUCACUUCUGAUAAUCUUGGCCCAUUGAUUCCAAUAAAACAUUAUUAAAAAUUACUCUCAAUUCACUUUAAUAGUAAUUUUUAACAGCAUCAGGCCACUCAUUCUACUAUCAGACUUGAAAGACUGAAUGUUCAAACACCUUAUAAAGACAAAAGCAAACAUCAAUAUACUUCAGUGAAAACUUGUGUCUUGUGAUUGUAGUUGACAUACUGAUAAGCAGUACCAAAUACUACCUCAUAGGGAAGAAAGAAGCAUCUUCUAGAGUUUGUUCUAGCGCUUUCCUAUAAACUUUUGUUGGGAGGGCAUAGGGAAAAAUGAAAAAUGCAAAAUGACAUAUUAAAACCAAAUGGAUUAGCAUUCCUCCUUAACCUUAAUGAAAGCCAUAUAAGUAUGUAUUUUGAGAAUGCUGUUUUGGUUUGGGUUUUUUUGAUGAGGCUUAGUUUUGUGUGGAGUUCUUUUUUAUUUUGCUUUUGUUUCAUUUUGCACUUUUGUUUUGGUUUUUUGGUUUUUUAUUUUUUUUUGGAUGGCUGGUUAGUUGUGGUUUUUUGUUCAAUUUAUUUUUUUAGGAAAAUGAAGGAUAUCUUUAAUUUCUUCCUUGAAAUUAAACUGACAAUGGAGAUAAUUGAUGGACGAGGAGUAUGUUUGCUUUUGCUUCCUUGCUUGAAAUGGACAGCAUCUCCAUUACUCAAAUUCAUGACUGAAUCAGGCUUAUUGAAUAUCUAACCACUAUGCUGUACUAGAAUGCUCUUCUUAUUCUUGUUUUUUCAGAGGGAAAAUAUUACCUGACCAUUUUUUUCCCAUCUAUCCAUAUCUUAGGUUUGUUCU
ensembl:lncRNA